GAUGAACGCUGGCGGCGUGCCUAAUACAUGCAAGUCGAGCGAACAGACGAGGAGCUUGCUCCUCUGACGUUAGCGGCGGACGGGUGAGUAACACGUGGAUAACCUACCUAUAAGACUGGGAUAACUUCGGGAAACCGGAGCUAAUACCGGAUAAUAUAUUGAACCGCAUGGUUCAAUAGUGAAAGACGGUUUUGCUGUCACUUAUAGAUGGAUCCGCGCCGCAUUAGCUAGUUGGUAAGGUAACGGCUUACCAAGGCAACGAUGCGUAGCCGACCUGAGAGGGUGAUCGGCCACACUGGAACUGAGCCACGGUCCAGACUCCUACGGGAGGCAGCAGUAGGGAAUCUUCCGCAAUGGGCGAAAGCCUGACGGAGCAACGCCGCGUGAGUGAUGAAGGUCUUCGGAUCGUAAAACUCUGUUAUGAGGGAAGAACAAAUGUGUAAGUAACUAUGCACGUCUUGACGGUACCUAAUCAGAAAGCCACGGCUAACUACGUG
rnacentral:rRNA from 1 species